CGGUCUCCAGGCAACAGCGCUCGGGUAGUGCUGCCCGGUCGGGGCGGGUCUCAUUCGGCCAGCCACUUCCCCUGCCUGCACCGCCCCGCCCCGCGCCCGCCGGUCGGGAUCUUAUUUCGCGCCCCGCCCUUUUCUGGCACUGUACUCACCUGCCCCAGCUUCUCAGGCCCGGCUGGUUACUAGAAGGUCCCCUGGAGACCGCCAGGAAAGGGCUUUCCGGCAAGGGGCAGACCCAGGAGGUUGCUCUGUGGCUACAGACCAAGUUCCAUGGAGAAGCCAGUCUCAAACGUAGAGAACCUCAUGCAGUCUGGCUGACCAGGCAUGAGAGGAAAGGAGCAAACUGUUGAAAAAAAGGAAAUCUGUGGCAUCUGAAGAGGAUUGCCCAGAUGGGAAUGGAGACAAAAUAGAGACAGUAGCAAGGUAACCAGGAUCUGGUCAUGGAAAAGGGGUCCUGUCACUUACCAAGGCUGAAGUAGAGACGGGGUUUCACCAUGUUUCGAUCUCCUGACCUCGUGAUCCGCCCGCCUCGGCCUGCCAAAGUGCUGGGAUUACAGGCGUGAGCCACCACGCCCGGCUCUGAAAUCUUGAUAUUUAAAUGUUGACAGCCAAUCCUAUUUGAGAGAGUGAGAGUGAGAAGGAGAGUGACUGUGCUGGCCGAAUUAUAUAGAAUCCAUGUGUUGAAUAUCAGGUAACAACUCUGAUUUCAUCUCACUCUUCCAUCAGAUAAAUAGGGAAGCUAAAGCCCAAGGGGAAAAGUAAUUGGCAAAACCACAAUAAACACUGACAGAAUCAUCAGUGCCCAAACCCCAGUCUGUGCUCUUUGCUCUGAAACAUGGCUAUAGCAAGCCCAUCCUUUCCCUCCCACUCUUGAUGCUCCCAGACUCAGCAGCCUCACUUCAAAAAGAGCCAUUCUUGGCAAUGACAGGUAUGAGAACUGCACCAGUGGAAAGCCUGGCCCAGUCAGGCUGUUGGUGCAGGUACAGUGAGCAGGAAGUCCCAGGGCCAUUGCCUAUUUAUUGGUGAUUUGUGUAUCCUUUUGUACUAAGUGCCUGUUUCUAUCUCUAAAUUAUUUUCUACUAGCUUGCCUGUCUUGCUGAUUUGUAAGAGUUCUGUAUGUAUUCUGAAUAAUUGUUCUUUG